GCCGGCAUAGUAUAGUGGUCAUUACAUAUCGUUGUGGCCGAUAUAACCUCAGUUCGAUUCUGAGUGCCGGCA
rnacentral:tRNA from 1 species